AUUAGCUAGUUGGUAAGGUAACGGCUUACCAAGGCGAUGAUCAGUAGGGGGCGUGAGAGCGUGGUCCCCCACACGGGUACUGAGACACGGACCCGACUCCUACGGGAGGCAGCAGUAAGGAAUAUUGGACAAUGGCCGCAAGGCUGAUCCAGCCAUCCAGCGUGCAGGAAGAAGGCCCUAUGGGUUGUAAACUGCUUUUGUCAGGAAAGAAACCUUUGGAUUUACUCCGAAGCUGACGGUACCUGAAGGAUAAGCACCGGCUAACUCCGUGCCAGCAGCCGCGGUAAUACGGAGGGUGCGAGCGUUAUCCGGAAUUACUGGGUUUAAAGGGUGCGUAGGCGGCGCUGUAAGUCAGGAGUGAAAGUUUGCGGCUCAACCGUAAAAUUGCUUUUGAUACUGCGGUGCUGGAAUUAGGAUGAGGUCAGCGGAAUGUGGCAUGUAGCGGUGAAAUGCAUAGAUAUGCCAUAGAACACCAAUUGCGAAGGCAGCUGGCUAGACCUGGAUUGACGCUGAGGCACGAAAGCGUGGGGAGCGAACAGGAUUAGAUACCCUGGUAGUCCACGCCCU
rnacentral:rRNA from 1 species